GGCCGUUAUAACGCUUCCAACAAAAAGGGAGAUGUUCUCGAUGAAGUGGCCAAGCUGCGUAGUAAAAGCUAUGAGAUCAUGCACACUCAAAAAAAGCUUCCUGGACGUGAGCAAUAUCAGCGGAAACGUUUUCUAUAACGUUUGCAGUAGAGAUCUUGCAAUCAAAGUAGCUGGCGUCCUGGCGUAGCACGCAAUUCACAUACUUGACUCGAAGCCUGCGCGCUUGCCUGUGGCCAGUAUAGAUCCAGCAGCUUACUUCUGGCAAGGCACGAAACAGCAAUCAAUUACGAGAGAUGGAGAUGGACAAUGUCAGCUUUAAGUACAGUGCUCGGACCAAACUUUAUCUUUUAAUAGUGGGACGCGAUUCGAGCGAUAUUUUGGUGCACUCAAAUCGAUCGACAAAGGAGGAAAUGAUCGAGACGUACCGAGAUAUGCUCCUAGCAGAGAGAUGGCUGCCAAGUACACGCACCAAAUUGCCUACAUACCAAAACUUCGAGCAUUUAGAUCACUUGAGAAACUGGAUCGGUCGAAGGAACUUCUUUUCUACCUGUUUGUUGGCGUUGGAGGGAGCGAUAAACCAUUGAUCAUCGAGCCUAGAGUACCGAAAAUCAUCGUUAUGGAGUCGUACUUAUCACCUUCUUGGAAAAGCCUCUUGUAGGACGCAAACACCGUCAUGAACGACUUCGACUUCAUGAAAUCGUCCCCUCAAGAGUGGAGAAAGGGAAAGAGCGCGCUCUACGGAGUUCUCUGAGAGGGUGUUUAUAUAUUAAGCUUCCGUGAAUCGAAUAUCUAUGAUGUUCUCAAAGGACGAACUUCUGGGAAAAUGCAUCCCACUCACAGCGAGCUUUCUUCUUCUUCUCAAAGGCUUCGAGUUUCUUGGCUGCGCAGUGCUUGUAGGACUUUGGUGUCUCCAUCGCAACGUUUGAACGAUGUGCGUGGAAUCAAGCAACAGUUUCUACGUGAGCGGUUUCGAGCGAAAGACCGAUCCUGUGCGUCUGCCCGUGCAAACUCGAAGAAAUCACCGCAAGUAAAACAGGCCUGUGAUGGGAACUUUUUCCACUUGGUACCAGGUUUUAUAAAAAUCACUCCACUGGAGGCCAGAUUGAUGGGCUUCGAUUCUUCGCUUUGUUGGUGGUGCUGCUGGUGGUGGCGCUGAUGAUGACCAACAAAGCAUCCACGAGCAGUGUCUCGUUUCUCCUUGGAAUUUCCAAGAGGCGCCUUCCCGGUUUGCAAUCAAUUUCUACACAAGCUCUUCGUCAAUCGUCAAAGUUGACUUCUAUUAUGCGAUUUCUCCAAUGGUUUUACAUUUGGCACCAUAUUCCAGAUUUGAUGUCGAGGCUAUCGAGUUCUCUGGGAUCCUUUACGCAAUCAUUGUUCUUGCACUUAGUAAGUUCUCUAGAUUUCAUUUACAUUUGGAGGUCUUUGUUCUCCAGAAUUUUCUAUCGAUUUCUAUUCUUUGGAAUUAAGCAAUCGUAGCUCAUCUAUUUCCAA